AACACGUGGGUAACCUGCCUGUAAGACUGGGAUAACUCCGGGAAACCGGGGCUAAUACCGGAUGCUUCAUUGAACCGCAUGGUUCAAUUAUAAAAGGUGGCUUUUAGCUACCACUUACAGAUGGACCCGCGGCGCAUUAGCUAGUUGGUGAGGUAACGGCUCACCAAGGCAACGAUGCGUAGCCGACCUGAGAGGGUGAUCGGCCACACUGGGACUGAGACACGGCCCAGACUCCUACGGGAGGCAGCAGUAGGGAAUCUUCCGCAAUGGACGAAAGUCUGACGGAGCAACGCCGCGUGAGUGAUGAAGGUUUUCGGAUCGUAAAACUCUGUUGUUAGGGAAGAACAAGUACCGUUCGAAUAGGGCGGUACCUUGACGGUACCUAACCAGAAAGCCACGGCUAACUACGUGCCAGCAGCCGCGGUAAUACGUAGGUGGCAAGCGUUGUCCGGAAUUAUUGGGCGUAAAGCGCGCGCAGGCGGUUUCUUAAGUCUGAUGUGAAAGCCCCCGGCUCAACCGGGGAGGGUCAUUGGAAACUGGGGAACUUGAGUGCAGAAGAGGAGAGUGGAAUUCCACGUGUAGCGGUGAAAUGCGUAGAGAUGUGGAGGAACACCAGUGGCGAAGGCGACUCUCUGGUCUGUAACUGACGCUGAGGCGCGAAAGCGUGGGGAGCGAACAGGAUUAGAUACCCUGGUAGUCCACGCCGUAAACGAUGAGUGCUAAGUGUUAGAGGGUUUCCGCCCUUUAGUGCUGCAGCAAACGCAUUAAGC
rnacentral:rRNA from 1 species